CUUGAGGCUUACGACCAGGAGGCAUUCUCAAAAUGACUUGCUAAACAUGCUGUCAGAGCAGUCAUAGAGAAUCCAACGAACCAGCAACUUCACAGCUGAGACCGUCCAAGAGCCAGAGAACUAGCUCUUGCCUGUGGAUCAAGACUUGCUGAUCCAGAGGCCUGAUACAUCUCGAUGCUGAUACAUCGAGAGCCACGGACCAUUAUCAGAGGCUCAAAUGCCAGGACCCCCUGGGAAGUCAUCCUGGAAAUGGUUAAAGGCGUACUUCGAAAGCAGCCGAGGAGUACAAUUGUGGGGAGUGACUGGUAAACCAUGGGCAUAAGGUCUGUCUGGACUUGCUACCUCAGUGAUUGUUAAUUUACCAAGGCAGACUCAUCUUCUCUACAUUAAAGUGUGCUGAUCACCGAGAUGACUUCUGCAAAAGAGAAUUAACUCACCAAGAGGGCAAGCAGAAGGCAGUGGAAGACCCUACUUUCAAACCUGCCACCCUCACGAAGAUUGGGGGAAGGGAGGUGAUAUGGGAGGUUCUUCUGUAUAUGUGUUGCUGUUUUUUGGUUAAUGAAUAAAGAAGCUGGUUUGGCCAA